AGAUGUGAGGGCAGUCAGGCUGUGACAUCUGUCACCCCAUUGAUCGCCAGGGUUGAUUCAGCUAAUCUGGCUGGCUAGGUGGGUGUCCCCUUCCCCCCUCACCGCUCCAUGGGCGUCCCUCCUGAAGCUGCGCAGUCGUGGAAGAGGAUGACCUCACCCUCACCCACCAAUAAAGGAGGACUGGUCUUUGGUCAAGGUUAAUAGGAGCUGCACUCCCGUCGGCAAAGAGCUCCCGAUAGAAUCUCCAAACAAGCUCUCAAGAAACUGCUUUAAAAUUAUUUAUUUAUUUAUUUAUUUAUUUGCA
rnacentral:snRNA from 1 species